rnacentral:rRNA from 2 species
AAUUAUGGCGGCGUGCCUAAUAUAUGAAAGUCUUACGAACUCUAGUAUUGAUUGGUGCUUGCAUCAUGAUUUACAUUUGAGUGGCUGGCGAACUGGUGAGUAACACGUGGGAAACCUGCCCGCAAGCGGGGGAUAACACCUGGAAACAGAUGGGAAUACCGCAUAACAACUUUGACCGCAUGGUCCGAGUUUGAAAGAUGGCUUCGGCUAUCACUUUUGGAUGGUCCCGCGGCGUAUUAGCUAGAUGGUGGGGUGUCGGCUCACCAUGGCAAUGAUACGUUUCCGACCUGAGAGGGUAAUCGGCCACAUUGUGACUGAGACACGGCCCAAACUCCUACGGGAGGCAGCAGUAGGGAAUCUUCCACAAUGGACGAAAGUCUGAUGGAGCAACGCCGCGUGAGUGAAGAAGGGUUUCGGCUCGUAAAACUCUGUUGUUAAAGAAUUACAUAUCUGAGAGUAACUGUUCUAGUAUUGACGGUAUUUAACCAGAAAGCCACGGCGGUACCAUGGGCUUAAAU